rfam:Populus trichocarpa isolate Nisqually-1 chromosome 5, whole genome shotgun sequence.
GCUGAGCCUGGUAACGUGGGCCUGGAUCUGCUUGAGGUGAUAGGAACAUUGAUUCAGCUCAUAUGGUUGGGUCUGGAUCUGCUUGAUUCUGGCUUGUCUGUUUGAAGCCAGGAGUUGAACCAUGGCAUCCUAGUGAAGACAUGGGUGUCAUGGCUCCUAGAGUGGAGGGUACAACGUGAGGCUGGUUUCACAGAGCAGCGACUACCUCCCUCUCCCGGCAGUGAAAAAGAUAACGGGUCGGUGCUGUCUAGAUCCAAAAUGGCUUAAUGGGCUGGUCUAAUUGGACCAUCACUUUU